UACGUAGGUGGCAAGCGUUGUCCGGAUUUACUGGGCGUAAAGGGAGCGUAGGCGGAUACUUAAGUGGGAUGUGAAAUACCUGGGCUUAACUUGGGUGCUGCAUUCCAAACUGGGUGUCUAGAGUGUUGGAGAGGAAAGUGGAAUUCCUAGUGUAGCGGUGAAAUGCGUAGAGAUUAGGAAGAACACCAGUGGCGAAGGCGACUUUCUGGACAAUAACUGACGCUGAGGCUCGAAAGCGUGGGGAGCAAACAGGAUUAGAUACCCUGGUAGUCCACGCCGUAAACGAUGGGUACUAGGUGUAGGAGGUAUAGACUCCUCCUGUGCCGCCGUUAACACAAUAAGUACCCCGCCUGGGGAGUACGGUCGCAAGAUUAAA
rnacentral:rRNA from 1 species